AAACCGUUCAGGGGUAAACCUAAGAAACCCAAAAGAUCGAACGGGGAGAUUCAUCGUCAGCGACGCUGGCUUCGCGUCGGUGGGCGAUGUCCCGCGGAGCCUCGCGGCUCGCGCGCGGACACGCUGCCGUGCGUCGAUGUCCGGCGUUCGUCGUCGUGCACUUCUCCCCUAGUAGAACGUCGCGACCCGCUGGGUGUCGGUCUACGGCCCGGGUGCGGUGACUGACGCGUCGCCGGUAAAACGGCACGCGUCAAACCCUCGGUCGCCCGGCCGGCUGCCCGGCGGUACACGCAAGGUAUCAGGCCGCACCUUACUCCAAGAGUGCGUCGAGGCCGUCGCAAGCGCGCGCCACGGUACAAGAGGAGGCUAACGGACCUAGUGCCGUCCCCGGUCCUGGCCCGCUGUUGGUCGUACGGUUAACCUUCGACAGGCCUACGAACGUCCCCCGGGUAAUCCGGGGGACCGAUACCGGUCGGCGACGCUACUGCUUUGGGUACUCUUAGGA
rnacentral:rRNA from 1 species